UACUACUCAUAUAGCAAGCCUAGCCCUGGGUUUCUGGAUUACCUAACAUGCCAUUCAUUAUUCAUGUACUCCUGAGCAAAGUCACAAGUGAUUGUGCCAUCAAUAAUCUGGUGUUCUGGGGGGCCCAAUAUUGGUACCAUAAAUGGAUAUAACUCAACUUUCUGAAGAUACUUGCCUACCAAUGGCAUGGGUUUGAUUUUGAAAGGCCUGGAUGGUACUGGAUCACUUCCCUAGAGGACCUGACACUUCCAUGAGAGUUGCUGCUGGAGAUAGAACUCAGUCACCUUCUAUAUCAGUCAUGGGUUGCUAUAAAUGAACAACUAGCUGGGAUUGCUGGCCAUCUCGCUUGGUUUUGUUUGUUCUGAGGAUGUAAACCUGAGUGUCAACUCUGAGUAUCAGCGUGCUGAGAUGGACAAUUGCAGGUGACAUGGCUUGGGUAAGGGGAGACUAGGCCACUGAUCUCAUUUGGAUUGGAGAUCAGAAGAUGAUAAUUCAUGGAAUGCAAGAAGUUUUUAGGUUUAGAAGGAGAACGUUAGCGGAACAUCUUCACAUUUUCUCUAAGCAGAAGUCAUUUAUUGCCACUAGUAAAGGAAGAAACAAAGCUGAGAUAAGCUUUUGAAAGUAAAAUCUCACAGUUAUUCAUGGCAACUGAGUAUAUGGUAAACAUGGUAAAUAAAAAGACCACUUAUUUGUUCCAAAAUCCUUAGGGACUCCAGUAUGGAUCUCAGUUGGACCAAGUGCCUCUCUCCUCUCAUUCUGUCACCUCCCUCCAACCUGCUAGCUCAGAGAGGCUUUUGGAGCCCUGCAUUUGAGGCUGAAUUUAGCCCUGAAUCUUCUUACACUUUUAUUUGUAUCUUUUACUCUUGAGAGAAAACAAACUUUAGUGACAAC
rnacentral:lncRNA from 1 species